rnacentral:rRNA from 1 species
AAUCUUGCGCAAUGGGGGAAACCCUGACGCAGCAACGCCGCGUGAGUGAAGAAGGCUUUCGGGUCGUAAAGCUCUGUCAGGUGGGAAGAAAUAUCUAGUGCAAAUAACACUAGGAGCUGACGGUACCACCAGAGGAAGCACCGGCUAACUCCGUGCCAGCAGCCGCGGUAAUACGGAGGGUGCAAGCGUUGUUCGGAAUUACUGGGCGUAAAGAGCGUGUAGGCGGUUGAUUAAGUCAGAUGUGAAAGCCCUUGGCUCAACCGAGGAAGUGCAUCUGAAACUGAUCAACUUGAGUACGGGAGAGGAGAGUGGAAUUCCUGGUGUAGAGGUGAAAUUCGUAGAUAUCAGGAGGAACACCGGUGGCGAAGGCGACUCUCUGGACCGAUACUGACGCUGAGACGCGAAAGCGUGGGGAGCAAACAGGAUUAGAUACCCUGGUAGUCCACGCCGUA